CUGAGCCGAAGACAGACGCUUAACCGCUGUGCCACCCAGGCGCCCCCAUGAAAGACUUUUCUAAUCUAAUAUUCUUUAUUAGGAACCUUAAUGCUAUAGUUUCAGGCAUAUGGCUUCAUUAAACAAGUGAGCAGCAAGGGAGAAAUGUCUUGUAUCUGUUCAUUUCUCUCUGUGUUCAGUUCAGAACCGAGGCGACUCCUGUAGGGCUGAAGCAAGAUCAUACGAAUCUGAGAGACAUGCUGAAUGGCACAGCCAGAGUUGCAGAGGAAAGUAUUGCAAAUUAGCAUAUUUGAAAAGUUUUUCAAAGGUCAGUCUGUGUCUCUUGUGGCCUGCUUAGAAUGUGUCACCACGGAUGGACUGAGCAGAACUUAUUGUUGUGUAUGUGAUGAGAAGUGUCCAAUUCACACCCACAGCCUUUCUUACUCCCACUUUCAUAUCUUGUUUUUCAUUUUAAAAAUGAUUACUGUAAAGAAAACCUUACUAACUCUAAUUUAAUGCCAAGGAUGUCUAAUUCCUUCAAACUGGUGUAAUAUGUGUCAUUUAUAUGUCUUACCAUUUAAUACCACCUACUCUAGCACUCUAAUAUUGUACUAAUGAAGAGGAGACCUCUAAUGCACCAGAGUAUUUUGCAAGUUAGUGGAUGAUAUUCAAUCAUGGUUUAUAAUAAUAAUUAUAAAAAUGUGUUUUAUUUUAACAAAGAUGUAGAUUUUCCAAUUUUCCCUAAAAAGUUCACUUUAAUCCAACACGUGAUUAGUACUUCUGAGUCUAUGUGCUAUUUGCAAGUGGAAUUCAAUUGUAAUAAAAUAUUUAAAAAUAGAUCUACUUAUAAAGAGAUCUUAUUUUCCAAGUUAUGAAUAUUAGAGAAAUGGUCUAAGGCAUCUUAUAUGUUAACAAAUUAGGAAGUUUUAGAUCAGAAAUAAGACAAUUAAGAAUACUGUGCUCGAAUAAUGAGUAGAAUAUAUACGUAUGAAAUAUCUGUAUUCGUUAUAUGUGAGGAAGGAGCUGCCAUAAAUUCUCAGGGGGUAUCACACUGAAACUAUGAUGGACCUUACAGUUCUGGUAUAUUUCCUAAAAUUUGUCUAUAAAAUGUUGACUUAUCAUACAAGUUACUUACAUAAUCACUUUCCUUUGGAAGAGAUUCUGCAAGGCACCUCAUUGAUAAAUAAUCAUGAAGGCAAUAAAAAUUUCCAUAGCCUCCCAGAGGGUGUUUGUUCUUAGGACAAAGACCCAGGGAAAAACUGACAUGUAGUCCUGGUUCAGAUCAGCUUGAUUAAACAUUGUGUGUAAUGAGGGAAAGAAUAUAAAAUGAGAGGACUAGGAGAUAAGGUUAGAAAAGCAAUCAAGAAAUCAAAAUUAACUUCGUGGCUUUCCUCCCAGGGUGGGUGAGAAAGCCGCACAUUUAUUUUUCUUGUGCCUGGUAAAGCCGUGCUUACCAACAUCGUGUAAUUUGUGACACUCUGCUGUUGAGCUUUUUCCUAUUCACCUCUCUUCAUGACUAUUGCUUUUAAAGGAAAGCGAAUUAAUUCUGGUUCUGUUUGAAGGAUUUGGUGACCAUUUCCUGAUGGUGCUUAAGAACGCUGGCGGCUCCCUGAAUGGUUGCUACAGAGCAGUGGUCCUCAAACUUUAGCAUGCCUUAGAUUGCUGACCUUCACCCUCAGAGCUGCUGAUUUGAUCCACUUUUUACCAAGUAUUCUGCACACUCUACCAGCCUGACUGGUCCUAUGCCCUGCUUUGAGCAAAGGCUAUGCAGAACUUGAACCCCGCCCCAAGAGAACUAUUUUGUGGGGUAAGUCGGAUUAGUUGGUGCUUCUACUGAGGGUAUUUUUCAGAAUUAUGGUAAGUCUUGCAAAAAGACACAUGUGAAAUUUAAAAAAUUUUAUCCAUCAAUUUUCUGGAAGAUAAACUUUAAAUGUUUAUUGUUUAUUAUUCCAGUUCCAUGGAUUGUGAACUGAUUAACUUGUAAUUCAGCUCAAAUCAUAACUCAUGUUAUAAGUCAAUGUGAUUUUUUUGGGAUACAUGAUAAAAUGAUUUUGGCAACCUCUAAGAAGUAAGCAGUGCUCUAACAGUGAAAGUUUGGUUCAC